rnacentral:rRNA from 1 species
GAAUAUCGGUCAAUGGAGGAAACUCUGAACCAGCCAUCCCGCGUGUAGGAAGAAGGCCCUCUGGGUUGUAAACUACUUUUAUCUGGGAAGAAAAGCCUGUAUUUAUGCGGGUCUGACGGUACCAGAGGAAUAAGCACCGGCUACCUCCGUGCCAGCACCCGCGGUAAUACGGAGGGUGCAAGCGUUAUCCGGAAUUACUGGGUUUAAAGGGUGCGUAGGCGGCGCAGUAAGUCAGGGGUGAAAGGUUCCGGCUCAACCGGAGAAUUGCCUUUGAAACUGCUGUGCUAGGAUUGGGUUGAGGUUGGCGGAAUGUGACAUGUAGCGGUGAAGUGCAUAGAUAUGUCAUAGAACACCGAUUGCGAAGGCAGCUAACUGGACCUUGAUUGACGCUGAGGCACGAAAGCGUGGGGAGCAAACAGG